GCCAGUGUGGCACAGUGGUUUGAGUGUUGGACUACGACUCUGGAGAGUAGGGUUCAAUUCCCAGCCCAGCCA
rnacentral:tRNA from 1 species